UUGGUAGGUAGAGAACUUUUU
ensembl:piRNA 21ur-6785 ncRNA